UACGUAGGUGGCAAGCGUUGUCCGGAUUUACUGGGCGUAAAGAGCGCGCAGGCGGUCGUUCAAGUCGCGUGUGAAAGCCCCCGGCUCAACUGGGGAGGGUCAUUCGAUACUGAUCGACUUGAAGGCAGGAGAGGGAAGUGGAAUUCCCGGUGUAGUGGUGAAAUGCGCAGAUAUCAGGAGGAACACCGGUGGCGAAGGCGGAUCUCUGGGCCAUUACUGACGCUGAGG
rnacentral:rRNA from 1 species